GACAGAGGCCCCAAGCGUUAGGCGGAAUCACUGGGCUUAAAGCGUGUGUAGGCGGAUCGUUAAGUGUCUUGUGAAAUCCCACGGCUCACCCGUGGAACUGCUGGGCAUACUGGCGAUCUUGGGCCAACUAGGGGCAGUCGGAACAAGCGGUGGAGCGGUGAAAUGCGUAGAUAUCAUUUGGAACGCCAAUGGUGAAAACAGGUAGCUGGGAGUGUGCUGACGCUGAGACACGAAAGCCAGGGGAGCGAACGGG
rnacentral:rRNA from 1 species